GGUCAGUAAAUGUCACGCUGAGUAAAUGCAGAGCGGGCUGUGAGUUUAUCAGAGCGAUGGGGAGGACAAGCUUAAAGCAGGACGUUUUUUCCCUUUUCUGGAAGUAUGAUGUCAGUUUGGACGGCUGGUGGAUGCAGAAGAAAUCGGGAACCAACCAAACCAAAGCAUUCCUGGUUUAAAGUAGGACCACAAAGUGAAGGAGACAGGACAGAAGAGCGGCAGAAAAGGACUAUAAUUUAAAAGAAACUGAGCAAAGGAACGUUAUCAUUUGAGGAAACCAUCUCUGUCUCAAGAGCACAAACAAGGACCUUCUCCAAAUCGGUAUCUUAGCCCAUGAGCCGGGCAGACGGAGGAUGAAGCCUUGGUCCUGCGAUUAAAGGGCAGGAUUUCUCAACCUACCACCCCACAUGUCAUCUGUUGUCAGCCACACAAUCAGACUUACUCAAGCAGCCAAUGAGGUACACGCGUCACUGCCUUUCUAACUUCAGCUGAAAGGAUCAAGACCACAUCAGGGAAAGGAAAGGCCCCACCAACGCAUGUUCCUGAGGUGGGCACCAAGUGGGUGUCAUUUUCCUGAAGCCAGCUGAUGAGGGGGGAGCCCGUCCACGAGCCCCUCUAAUCCGAACUGGGGAAAACCUGUAUGCGGUGACUUCAACGGUCUGAAAGAGAAACACGGGCCGCCCACAUCUUCACUCGCGCUGCUCAGAAAGCUCCUGUGGCGUAACGCAGGCGGGCCAGAAGUCCACAUGACAGGCGGCGGAGAGAAGGAGCCUGCUCCUCCAGUCAC